CUUCCGCAAUGGACGAAAGUCUGACGGAGCAACGCCGCGUGAGUGAUGAAGGCUUUCGGGUCGUAAAACUCUGUUGUUAGGGAAGAACAAGUACGAGAGUAACUGCUCGUACCUUGACGGUACCUAACCAGAAAGCCACGGCUAACUACGUGCCAGCAGCCGCGGUAAUACGUAGGUGGCAAGCGUUAUCCGGAAUUAUUGGGCGUAAAGCGCGCGCAGGCGGUUUCUUAAGUCUGAUGUGAAAGCCCACGGCUCAACCGUGGAGGGUCAUUGGAAACUGGGGAACUUGAGUGCAGAAGAGAAAAGCGGAAUUCCACGUGUAGC
rnacentral:rRNA from 2 species